rnacentral:rRNA from 1 species
GACGAACGCUGGCGGCGUGCUUAACACAUGCAAGUCGUACGGUAAGGCCCUUUCGGGGGUACACGAGUGGCGAACGGGUGAGUAACACGUGAGUAACCUGCCCACAACUUUGGGAUAACGCUAGGAAACUGGUGCUAAUACUGGAUAUGUGCUCCUGCUGCAUGGUGGGGGUUGGAAAGCUCCGGCGGUUGUGGAUGGACUCGCGGCCUAUCAGCUUGUUGGUGGGGUAGUGGCCUACCAAGGCGGCGACGGGUAGCCGGCCUGAGGGGGUGACCGGCCACAUUGGGACUGAGAUACGGCCCAGACUCCUACGGGAGGCAGCAGUGGGGAAUAUUGCACAAUGGGCGCAAGCCUGAUGCAGCAACGCCGCGUGCGGGAUGACGGCCUUCGGGUUGUAAACCGCUUUCAGCAGGGAAGAAGCUUUUUGUGACGGUACCUGCAGAAGAAGCACCGGCUAACUACGUG